ensembl:snRNA U1 U1 spliceosomal RNA
AGACUUACCUGGCAGGGGAGAUACCAUGAUCAUGAAGGUGGUUUUCCCAGAGCGAGGCUCAUCCAUUGCAUUCCGGAUGUGCUGACCCCUGCAAUUUCCCCAAAUGUGGGAAACUCGACUGCAUAAUUUGUGGUAGUGGAAGACUGUGUUCAUGCUCUCCCC